rnacentral:rRNA from 1 species
GGGCUCACACAAGCGGUGGAGGAUGUGGCUUAAUUCGAGGCUACGCGAAGAACCUUACCUAGACUUAACAUGUUUGAGAAUCUCUGUGAAAGCAGAGAGUGCCUUUCGGGGAACUCUUACGUAGGUGCUGCAUGGCUGUCGUCAGCUCGUGUCGUGAGAUGUCGGGUUAAGUCCCUUAACGAGCGAAACCCUUAUCUUCAGUUGCCAGCGAGUAAUGUCGGGGACUCUGGAGAGACUGCCGGUGUUAAACCGGAGGAAGGUGGGGAUGACGUCAAGUCCUCAUGGCCCUUACGGGUUGGGCUACACACGUGCUACAAUGGUAGUGACAAUGGGUUAAUCCCAAAAAGCUAUCUCAGUUCGGAUUGUCGUCUGCAACUCGACGGCAUG